AACGGCCGCGGUAUCCUAACCGUGCAAAGGUAGCAUAAUCACUUGCCUAUUAAUUGUAGGCUAGAAUGAAAGGGUUAACGAAAUAAAGACUGUCUCAAUUAAUUACCUAAAAAUUACUCUCUAUCUGAAGAAAGGUAGAUAAACUCGAAGGACAAGAAGACCCUAUAGAGCUUAAUUUUAAUUAUAGAACCAAACUAUAAGAAUAUUCGGUUGGGGCGACCCAGGGCUAAAUAAUCACCCAUUAACUAAAAGAUAAAUAAAUCUAACAAAUGACCCUAUAAAGAUCAUAAGAACAAGCUACCUUAGGGAUAACAGGCUAAUCCCACUUAAGAGUCCUUAUCAACAGUGGGGGUUGGCACCUCGAUGUUGGCUUAGG
rnacentral:rRNA from 1 species